CUACGGGGUGCUGCAGUGGGGAAUCUUAGACAAUGGGGGCAACCCUGAUCUAGCCAUGCCGCGUGAGCGAAGAAGGCCUUAGGGUUGUAAAGCUCUUUCAGCUGGGAAGAUAAUGACGGUACCAGCAGAAGAAGCCCCGGCUAACUCCGUGCCAGCAGCCGCGGUAAUACGGAGGGGGCUAGCGUUGUUCGGAAUUACUGGGCGUAAAGCGCGCGUAGGCGGGCUGGAAAGUCAGAGGUGAAAUCCCGGGGCUCAACCCCGGAACUGCCUUUGAAACUCCCAGUCUUGAGGGCGAGAGAGGUGAGUGGAAUUCCGAGUGUAGAGGUGAAAUUCGUAGAUAUUCGGAGGAACACCAGUGGCGAAGGCGGCUCACUGGCUCGAUACUGACGCUGAGGUGCGAAAGCGUGGGGAGCAAACAGGAUUAGAUACCCGCGUAGUC
rnacentral:rRNA from 1 species